GGGUUGUGAGGUUAAGCGAAUAAGCGUACACGGUGGAUGCCUAGGCAAUCAGAGGCGAUGAAGGACGUGCUAAUCUGCGAAAAGCGUCGGUAAGGUGAUAUGAACCGUUAUACCCGACGAUAUCCGAAUGGGGAAACCCAGUAUCCAAUGGAUACUAUCAUUAACUGAAUCCAUAGGUUAAUGAGGCGAACCGGGAGAACUGAAACAUCUCAGUACCCCGAGGAAAAGAAAUCAACCGAGAUUCCCCUAGUAGCGGCGAGCGAACGGGGAGCAGCCCAGAGUCUUAAUCAAUAGCAGUGUCAGGAGAACGGUCUGGAAAGUCCGGCAGUAAAGGGUGAUAGCCCCGUAUCUGAAGAUGCUGUUAUUGUGAACUCGAUGAGUAGGGCGGGACACGUGUUAUCCUGUCUGAAUAUGGGGGGACCAUCCUCCAAGGCUAAAUACUCCUGAUUGACCGAUAGUGAACCAGUACCGUGAGGGAAAGGCGAAAAGAACCCCGGCGAGGGGAGUGAAAAAGAACCUGAAACCGUGUACGUACAAGCAGUAGGAGCCUCUUUAUGGGGUGACUGCGUACCUUUUGUAUAAUGGGUCAGCGACUUAUAUUCUGUAGCAAGGUUAACCGUAUAGGGGAGCCGUAGGGAAACCGAGUCUUAACUGGGCGAAUGAGUUGCAGGGUAUAGACCCGAAACCCGGUGAUCUAUCCAUGGGCAGGUUGAAGGUUGGGUAACACUAACUGGAGGACCGAACCGACUAAUGUUGAAAAAUUAGCGGAUGACUUGUGGAUGGGGGUGAAAGGCCAAUCAAACCGGGAGAUAGCUGGUUCUCCCCGAAAGCUAUUUAGGUAGCGCCUCGUGAACUCAUCUUCGGGGGUAGAGCACUGUUUCGACUAGGGGGUCAUCCCGACUUACCAACUCGAUGCAAACUGCGAAUACCGAAGAAUGUUAUCACGGGAGACACACGGCGGGUGCUAACGUCCGUCGUGAAGAGGGAAACAACCCAGACCGCCAGCUAAGGUCCCAAAGUCAUGGUUAAGUGGGAAACGAAGUGGGAAGGCUCAGACAGCCAGGAUGUUGGCUUAGAAGCAGCCAUCAUUUAAAGAAAGCGUAAUAGCUCACUGGUCGAGUCGGCCCGCGCGGAAGAUGUAACGGGGCUAAACCAUGCACCGAAGCUGCGGCAGCGACACAAAGUGUUGUUGGGUAGGGGAGCGUUCUGUAAGCCUGCGAAGGUGUACUGUGAGGUAUGCUGGAGGUAUCAGAAGUGCGAAUGCUGACAUAAGUAACGAUAAUGCGGGUGAAAAACCCGCACGCCGGAAGACCAAGGGUUCCUGUCCAACGUUAAUCGGGGCAGGGUGAGUCGACCCCUAAGGCGAGGCUGAAAAGCGUAGUCGAUGGGAAACGGGUUAAUAUUCCCGUACUGGUGGUAACUGCGAUGGGGGAACGGAGAAGGCUAGGUUGUCCGGGCGACGGUCGUCCCGGUUCAAGCAGGUAGGCAGAGUGAUUAGGCAAAUCCGGUCACUUAAUGCUGAGAUGUGAUGACGAACCACUAAGGUGGUGAAGCAAUUGAUGCCCCGCUUCCAGGAAAAGCCUCUAAGCUUCAGGUUACCAACAAUCGUACCCCAAACCGACACAGGUGGUCAGGUAGAGAAUACUCAGGCGCUUGAGAGAACUCGGGUGAAGGAACUAGGCAAAAUGGUGCCGUAACUUCGGGAGAAGGCACGCUGGCGGUAGGUAAAGUCCCUUGCGGACGGCGCUGAAGCCAGUCGAAGAUACCAGCUGGCUGCAACUGUUUAUUAAAAACACAGCACUGUGCAAACACGAAAGUGGACGUAUACGGUGUGACGCCUGCCCGGUGCUGGAAGGUUAAUUGAUGGGGUCAGCCGCAAGGCGAAGCUCCUGAUCGAAGCCCCAGUAAACGGCGGCCGUAACUAUAACGGUCCUAAGGUAGCGAAAUUCCUUGUCGGGUAAGUUCCGACCUGCACGAAUGGCGUAAUGAUGGCCAGGCUGUCUCCACCCGAGACUCAGUGAAAUUGAACUCGCUGUGAAGAUGCAGUGUACCCGCGGCAAGACGGAAAGACCCCGUGAACCUUUACUAUAGCUUGACACUGAACAUUGAGCCUUGAUGUGUAGGAUAGGUGGGAGGCUUUGAAGUGUGGACGCCAGUCUGCAUGGAGCCAACCUUGAAAUACCACCCUUUAACGUUUGAUGUUCUAACCUAGGCCCAUAAACUGGGUCGGGGACCGUGUCUGGUGGGUAGUUUGACUGGGGCGGUCUCCUCCUAAAGAGUAACGGAGGAGCACGAAGGUUGGCUAAGCAUGGUCGGACAUCAUGCGGUUAGUGCAAAGGCAUAAGCCAGCUUGACUGCGAGAGUGACGGCUCGAGCAGGUACGAAAGUAGGUCUUAGUGAUCCGGUGGUUCUGAAUGGAAGGGCCAUCGCUCAACGGAUAAAAGGUACUCCGGGGAUAACAGGCUGAUACCGCCCAAGAGUUCAUAUCGACGGCGGUGUUUGGCACCUCGAUGUCGGCUCAUCACAUCCUGGGGCUGAAGUAGGUCCCAAGGGUAUGGCUGUUCGCCAUUUAAAGUGGUACGCGAGCUGGGUUUAGAACGUCGUGAGACAGUUCGGUCCCUAUCUGCCGUGGGCGUUGGAAGAUUGAGAGGGGUUGCUCCUAGUACGAGAGGACCGGAGUGAACGCACCACUGGUGUUCGGGUUGUCAUGCCAAUGGCAUUGCCCGGUAGCUAAGUGCGGAAGAGAUAACCGCUGAAAGCAUCUAAGCGGGAAACUUGCCUCGAGAUGAGUCUUCCCUGUCGCUUUAAGCGACCUAAAGGAACGUUUAAGACUAAGACGUUGAUAGGCUGGGUGUGUAAGCGUAGCGAUACGUUGAGCUAACCAGUACUAAUGAACCGUGAGGCUUAACCUGACAACACCGAAAGUGUUUUG
rnacentral:rRNA from 1 species